CUGGACUCCUUCAGCUGUCUCCUUUCUGGGGAAGGGGGAGGUCUGCUGUGGCGGCGAGUCCUGCAGGCGAUGCCAGCCACCAGGAGGCACAGUGCCAUGAGCAGGCCGAAACAGACACCCAUCAUGAAGUAGAGGGCGAAGCUCUCUGGAUUGGCUGUGUGGGCAGAGAAACACAAUGGACGAGUUUGAUAUGACCUCGACAACAGGGGCAAUUACAGUGGUCGUCUCUAUGGUGGCCGCUGACUCAUGGGAACUGGUGGGUUUCGAUCAGCACUGCCUUCUGUUCGGCAUUUAACUCACAGACCGAAGAGGCAUGACUCCAUCUGAACCCUCAAUUUGCGGCCUCC